GACGAACGCUGGCGGCGUGCUUAACACAUGCAAGUCGUACGGUAAGGCCCUUUCGGGGGUACACGAGUGGCGAACGGGUGAGUAACACGUGAGUAACCUGCCCACAACUUUGGGAUAACGCUAGGAAACUGGUGCUAAUACUGGAUAUGUGCUCCUGCUGCAUGGUGGGGGUUGGAAAGCUCCGGCGGUUGUGGAUGGACUCGCGGCCUAUCGGCUUGUUGGUGGGGUAGUGGCCUACCAAGGCGGCGACGGGUAGCCGGCCUGAGAGGGUGACCGGCCACAUUGGGACUGAGAUACGGCCCAGACUCCUACGGGAGGCAGCAGUGGGGAAUAUUGCACAAUGGGCGCAAGCCUGAUGCAGCAACGCCGCGUGCGGGAUGACGGCCUUCGGGUUGUAAACCGCUUUCAGCAGGGACGAAGCUUUUUGUGACGGUACCUGCAGAAGAAGCACCGGCUAACUACGUG
rnacentral:rRNA from 1 species